rnacentral:ncRNA from 2 species
UAUAUUUGCGCACGAUUUGGUUCGGAAUCCGUGGUCAACGGAUGAAGAUUAAAAGGGAAUCGGGUGUAACUCCCGGACAGUCCCGCUGCUGUGAAGCUCUAUAGAACAUCUUAUAAAUUAACCAGAUUCGCGCCACUGACGGAGGUAAAAAAUCCAUCGGGAAGGCCUGUAAGAUGAGAGUCAGUCAGAAGACCUGCCAGUCAAAAUUUAUACUU